CGCGACGAGAACCAUAUUAUACGCGAAUU
rnacentral:sRNA from 1 species